GUGCCUGUAGCUCAGUGGAUAGAGCGCUUGUCUACGGAACAAGAAGUCGGGAGUUCGAAUCUCUCCAGGCACGC
rnacentral:tRNA from 2 species